rnacentral:tRNA from 1 species
GCCUUCGGGGUGCAACGGUAGCACACUCGGCGCGUAUUCGAGAGGUCCAGGUUCGAGUCCCAGCGAGGGCA